GCAACCUCCCGACUUCUAGUAAAUUACCCAGAGCCCUAUCGUUCUCAGAUAUUGGAUUAUCUCUUUAAGCCGAAUUUUGGUGCCUCUUUGCAUAUUUUAAAAGUGGAAAUAGGUGGUGAUGGGCAGACAACAGGUAGGAGAAUUUGGGAGAUAGGAUUUCUCCCAUCAACAUUUUAAUCUAUACCUCAGCAUAUGGACUGUGAUUUCAGAAUAUGUGUAAACAAUACCAACACUUUUGAGAUUGAUUGUUGCUUAUUAGAGUUUUCCUCAUUUUUUAACUGUAAUUAUUUAAAAAUAUUAUAUAGAAUAUGACUGGUCCAUCAAAAACAAUAUUCAAACUUCAAAUUGCUUAUUUAGUUGAAGUAAUCGGUAGUAAACAAAUCCACAGUUUUCUAAAACCUAUAUAUACAGGACAGAGCAUAGGGACAGUUUUGAAUUUUAUUGAGCAGUUAGAAAGAUUUUAAUUUCGUAUAGAACAAAAAAAGUGUUAUUAACUUAAAAUAUGUGGUAAAAAUGAUACAGCUU
rnacentral:lncRNA from 1 species